rnacentral:rRNA from 1 species
CGCGUAGGCGGAUGGCACAGUCAGAUGUGAAAUUCCCGGGCUUAACCUGGGGGCUGCAUUUGAUACGUGUUGUCUAGAGUGAGGAAGAGGGUCGUGGAAUUCCCAGUGUAGAGGUGAAAUUCGUAGAUAUUGGGAAGAACACCGGUGGCGAAGGCGGCGACCUGGUCCUUGACUGACGCUGAGGCGCGAAAGCGUGGGGAAGCAAACA